AAUUUUUGUAUUGCUUUUAUUUGUAUUAAAAACUUGGUUGUUGUUCUCACAUUAAAUUAUUGUCAAAGAAAUGCUCAGAUAGUUUGCAAACCUACCCAGAUAGUUUUUUACAUAUAUUUUUUAUCUACCUACCAAAUUUCAUUGAAAAAUAUUAUUGAGCAGAUAGUCUAUAAAAGUGAGCAGUUUUGGUACCUCAUUUCUGUUUUUCUGAUUUCCGUAAGUGGGUGGUAAGAGGGGUACAAACAAGUUGAAUUUUAUUUGUGUGACUUGUUUAUAGUUUCUAAAAUUUUAUUGGUUUCAUUGAAAUUGAAAACAUAAGCGUUGAUUACUAUAAUUCUAGCUAUAGGUUGUGGGUAACCAUUACCACCCUAUUUAACAAACUUCUCAACUUAACCAAAAUUUACGAAUAGCAGCGGAAAGACUUUUUUUUCAAAAGUAGGCUCAGUUGUGGUCUUUAUCUUUAGCUUGUAGGUUAUACUUGGUGCAAAAAGCCUAAUUCAGGUUGGGGGGGGGGGGCACACGCCCCUCCCACAAGUCAAUAAGCACACCACCAAUAAAUGAAUUUCUUGUAGCAAAAAAAAUUUUUAUGUUUUUUAUACUGUAUACUAGUUUCACUUAUUUUAUUAAA
rnacentral:lncRNA from 1 species